CCUAACCCUAUUGCUUUUAAAGCACUUUAAACUGCAGCUGCAAGUUGCGCCAUGAAGCACGCCCUGCCAUCCCCUUUUGCUGACUGGGAGCAGAGGAGGUGCUGCUUACAGUCUCUCCAGGUGCAUUUCAACAGUCAGGAGGAGGCCUGAAGCCUUCGGGCGAUUGUACAUCUCCUAAGAACAUUUAACGCAAUUUCUCUAUAUUCUUUCUGAAGCCCUUUCCAAAGAAUGAUGAUGGUAUAUAAACCUCUGGAAGGGACCCCAAGGGUCAUCCAGUCCAACCCGCUGCAUCGCAGGAACAUGCAGGAGUCCCUUACAGGGAACAAUCCCAUAACCUUGUUGUGAAGCAAAUGUUGCCCGCUUAAAUGGCAAACCUCUCCCGGAGCUGCAAGGUCAGCCAUGAAGCCCACAUGGCCAUCCACUUUUCUGGACUGGAAACAGAGGAAGUGCUGCUUACAUCCUCCUGGGAGCAUUUGAACUGUCAGGGGGAGGCGCUGACCCUUACCCCUAAGCCUAACCCCAACCCUGACAAUGACCCAAACCCCAAGACUACAGUUACAACAGCAGACUUACAAGUUCUGACCUUUGUGAAAGGUGAAGAUAAAGGGGCCCCUGACCAUUAGGUCCAGUCGUGACAGACUUUGGGGUUGCGGUGCGUAUCUCACUUUAUUGGCCAAGGAAGCCGGCGUACAGCUUCCAAGUCAUGUAAGAGGCUUCUGGCAAACCAGAGCAGCGCACGGAAGCGCUUUCAAAAUGAUAGCUGGGAAGGAGUAGGGACCGAGCAAUGGGAGCUCACCCUGUUGUGGGGAUUCAAACCACCAACCUUCUGAUCGGCAAGUCCUAGGCUCUGUGGUUUAACCCACAGCACCACCCGCAUCCCUAUUUUCUGACCUUUGACCCCUAGUUAGAAACUAGGCUUUCUGUUGCCCUCGUUAUUCCAACCACAAAUUGUCCAGCUUAUUGUGCAUCUGCCUAGAAAUAUCAUUUUCAUUUGGGAAAACAUCUCAUAAAGAGAUUUUUUCCCCCAGCUGCGGCAUUAGAACAUGGGAAGGUGUGCAUUGCAGGGCAUCCCAAAACAAGUCUUCCUGACCCAGGGCUUAGGGGAAUUAGGGUUGGGGGAUAGACUAUACUUUUUAGGAAGCCUGUUUAUUCUGACACUGCUGUUGGUGAAGGAAACCACAGACUGAUCCUAGCACAAACGCACUGCUUUAGGAGACAGGGGUCCCAUCCCAACCCCUUAGCCCUCAAACCCAGAGGAUCCCAAUACAAUUUGGCUCCUACCGUUCUCAGUAUGGGUUCUGCUCCUCUUCCGGGCAGGCACUGAAGGUGGGACCUUGUCUGUCAUGAUUACGGAGGGAAGACAAAUUGGGGGGGAAGAAGGCACAGCGUUCUCUCCAUCUCCCCCUUCUGCCCUGAAGUGUGUGCAGGGAAACCCACUCAUUUCAGUAAUCCUCGUUUCCCCCCCCUCUUUGGUUUGCCAUGCAUAAGUAGGCUUCUGCCCGAAACAUAAGUGUUAUAAUAAAUCCACAAAAUCUGACAUCAAGUAAGACAGCAAACCUGCGGACCUGAUUUCUUUCAAGUGAACUGAAAGAGUAUAAGUAUAAAACAGGCACCCAUCGUUUCUGCUGCAUCGUUUAUUCCACAAACUUGUGUCUUCUUUCUGAAGCACAUUCCAAAAGAAUCCUACAAUGGUGUAUACAUCUAUAUCUGGAAGGGACCCCAAUGGCCAUCCGAGUCCAUGGCAAAGCAGGAACAUACAGGAUAACAACCACCAAGCUUGGUUGUGCCAUCAGUGUUGCCCUAUUGAAUGGCACUUUUAAGGCACUUUAAACUGCAGCUGCAAGUUGUGCCAUGAAGCACACCUUGCCAUCCCCUUUUCCUGACUGGGAGUGGAGGAGGUGCUGCUUACAGUCUCCCCAAGAACAUUUCAACAGUCAGGAGGAGGCCUGAAGCCUUCGGGGGGAAUUGUACAUCUACUAAGAACAUUAAAUGCUAUUUCUCUUUC
rnacentral:lncRNA from 1 species